UCGCUCACCCGGUAGGGGAGGCACCAGGAUCAGGAUGGUGGUGUCCCCGGGGGGAGGCUCCCCCACUGCGUUCCAGAUGUGCUGACCGCUGCAAGGUCCCCAAACGUGGGAAACUCGGCUGCGUAAUUUGUGGUAGUGGGGCCUGCAUUUGCCCCCUCCCU